rnacentral:rRNA from 1 species
AGCGAACGCUGGCGGCAGGCCUAACACAUGCAAGUCGAACGAACUCUUCGGAGUUAGUGGCGGACGGGUGAGUAACCCGUGGGAACGUGCCUUUUGGUUCGGAAUAACUCAGGGAAACUUGUGCUAAUACCGAAUGUGCCCUUCGGGGGAAAGAUUUAUCGCCAUUAGAGCGGCCCGCGUCUGAUUAGCUAGUUGGUGAGGUAACGGCUCACCAAGGCGACGAUCAGUAGCUGGUCUGAGAGGAUGACCAGCCACACUGGGACUGAGACACGGCCCAGACUCCUACGGGAGGCAGCAGUGGGGAAUCUUGCGCAAUGGGCGAAAGCCUGACGCAGCCAUGCCGCGUGAAUGAUGAAGGUCUUAGGAUUGUAAAAUUCUUUCACCGGGGACGAUAAUGACGGUACCCGGAGAAGAAGCCCCGGCUAACUUCGU